UGUCCCUUAUACUGCUGCUUAGAGCUUUGUGGUAUUCCACCUUCCUCCCCCAUUUGUUGUGGGUCAUCAAUCCCUUUCUCUUCUUCUUCCUAGUAUCAUCCUUGCUUAGCUUGCAGCGGUAUGUUUUUGUCUUUUGUUCUUCAUUUAUUUCCCUCAAUUUUUUACUUCCUCCAUUUCAAUGAUGGAGACUUAAUCCGGUGAUGUAGUGGUUGCCUAAGAUAGUUCUUGUAGAGGUGCCUGUCUUGUGGUCUGGCUCUUAAUUCCUUGAGAGAGAUGAUUUGGUUGGAUAUGUUCCUCCAGUAAGACCUGAUGCUGCAUUUUCUAUAUGGAAUCUAAAAAAGAGUUGGUCGUUGAUUCUUCAGGAGAGAGAUGAUUUGGUUGGAUAUGUUCCUCCAGUGAAACUUGAUGCUGCAUUUUCUAUGUGGAAUCCAAAAAAGAGUUGGUCGUUGAUUCUUCAGGUUUUUCCUUUCUGAUGACAUUCUAUAAAGUGACUCAUUUUUUUAUAACUAAAGAAGUAACAGUGAGUUUUGAAUAAUUGAAAAGAAAUCUUCAGUUGUUUAUGAAUAUUUAGCCAAAUUGCUUCUUGUUUCAAAUCUUCUGAAACUCCCCCAUUUUCAUAAUAUAUACUACUUUUAAUAUCAUGUAAUAAUUAAAUUGUGUUCCUCUAUGUUUUCAUUCUGCUUUAUUUCUCUAGGGUGUAUUCUCAAAUUAGGUAUUAGCGGUUUUUCUAAGUUAAUAAUCUUCCUUUCGUUGCUUGGAAGUUUACGGAAGCUUGAAAAAAUCAUUGUUGUCCAACCCUUUCAAAGGCUACAUUAGUAAUUUAAUUUGCUAAUGAAUUUCCUUUCUGAAAACAUGUUGAAGUCUCACUUGACAUAACUAAGCUAGAUACUUAAUGUGUCUUAUUAUAGUUGAAAUCUGCCACAGAAUCUCCCAAAUUUAAAAAAGAACUCGAAUAAUGUCUAAAGAAUCAAUAUUAAAAAUCAUCUUAUUGAGGCUCAUAGAAACACAAUGAUAAAUGAUCUUUUUGAUUGCAAUUGCUUCUUCCUCAAUAUCUGUUGUCUCAUGAAUUUCCUCCCUUUGAGCAUAUAUAAGAUCCCCUCUAUGAUUACUUGAAAAAUAACCAUAGUAACUCUUGUUCGGAUUGUCUUACAUUUAAACACUUGACAUCAUGUGGUUUUCAUGGCUAGUUGGUAGGUACUCAAUUCAUAAGAUAAAUGAUUUUUACUAGUCUUUAGAUACAUGGGCUCACCUUAAACAAGACUAUUGUAUGACGAUUUCUUCCCAUUCUUAAGAUUAUUUAUCAUUUUUUUAUAAAUAUCACACGAACCGGGAUGGGUAGUGUGGCCACGGUUGACACCGGUAACUCCCUUUUUAGCCUUGAUCCAUGUCUUCCUCUUG